rnacentral:rRNA from 1 species
GACGAACGCCGGCGGCGUGCUUAACACAUGCAAGUCGAACGGGUCUGCCUUGUUUUUUGCGGGGUGGGUCAGUGGCGAACGGGUGAGUAACACGUGAGUAACCUGCCCCUCACUUCUGGAUAACCGCUUGAAAGGGUGGCUAAUACGGGGUGUUCUGGCUGUGCCGCAUGGUGUGGCUGGGAAAGAUUCACUUUUGUGGUGUUUUGGUGGGGGAUGGGCUCGCGGCCUAUCAGCUUGUUGGUGGGGUGAUGGCCUGCCAAGGCUUUGACGGGUAGCCGGCCUGAGAGGGUGGGCGGUCACACUGGGACUGAGAUACGGCCCAGACUCCUGCGGGAGGCAGCAGUGGGGGGUAUUGCACAAUGGGCGGAAGCCUGAUGCAGCGACGUCGCGUGAGGGAUGGAGGCCUUCGGGUUGUGAACCUCUUUCGCCGGUGAAGAAGGUCCUGUUCUUUGUGGUGGGGCUGACGUAGCCGGGU